GAUCAAGUUACUAAGAGCGCAUGGAGGAUGUCUUGGCAUCAGAAGGCGAUGAAGGGCGUGGAAGUCUGCGAUAAGCCUGGGUGAGCUGGCAAACAAGUUAUGACCCCGGGAUUCCUGAAUUAUCCAUAACUGAAUACAUAGGUUAUGUGAGGCUAACGCAGGGAACUGAAACAUCUAAGUACCUGCUGGAAAAGAAAGAAAAAUCGAUUUCCUUAGUAGCGGCGAGCGAACGGGAAUUAGCCCAAACCGGAGGAGUUUCUCUUCUGGGGUAGUAGGGCAGGGAAUACUAAACGUAGUACGAUAGCAGAACGGUAUGGAAAGGCCGGCCACAGAGGGUGACAGUCCCGUAAGUGAAAUCUGAAACGUUUAAUCUCUGUACCUGAGUAGGUCCAGUCACGUGGAACCUGGAUUGAAUCUGCGGGGCCCAUCCCGCAAGGCUAAAUACUCUCUGAUGACCGAUAGUGCAUAGUAGGGCGAUUGAAAGAUGAAAAGAACCGCUGCUAGCGGAGUUAAAUGAACCUGAAACCAUGUGCUUACAAGCGGUAGGAGCGCGAUUUAACGCGUGACUGCGUGCCUUUUGCAUAAUGAUCCGGCGAGUUAUGGUGAACGGCCUGGUUAAGUUUUUACGGAACGGAGCCUCAGGGAAACCGAGUCUUAAUAGGGCGUAUAGUCGUUUGCUGUAGACGCGAACCCCAGUGAUCUACGCAUGAGCAGGUUGAAGCGAGGGUUAUACCUCGUGGAGGACCGAACCCACUUGGGUUGAAAACCGAGGGGAUGACUUGUGCGGAGGAGUGAAAGUCUAAUCAAACUGGGAGAUAUCUCGUUCUCUCCGAAAUAGUUCUAGGGCUAGCCUCGCGCCACUCUGUUGUGGGGGUAGAGAUACUGAAUUGGAUAAGGGCGCUUCCCCGCGUACCUUACUGAACCAAACUCCGAAUACCACAAUAUUUAUCGCGGGAGUCAGUCCCUGGGGGAUAAGCUCCAGGGUCAAGAGGGAAACAACCCAGAUCGUCAGCUAAGGUCCCAGAAUUAUGCUUAGUCACUAAGGAAGUUGAAUUGCGGAGACAACCAGGAUGUUGGCUUAGAAGCAGCCACCAUUUAAAAAGUGCGUAAUAGCUUACUGGUCGAGCAAUUCUGCGCCGAUAAUGAACGGGAGUAAGUAUAAUACCGAAGCUGCGGAAACUAGUAAUAGUUUGGUAGGAGAGCGCUGUUAAGCAGAUACAGGCCAUACCGUAAGGAGUGGUGGCGGGCUUAACAGGUGAUUAUGCCGGAAUGAGUAACGAUAAUGCAGGUGAGAAUCCUGCACGCCGAAAGCCUAAGGUUUCCUGGGGAAGGUAAAUCCGCCCAGGGUUAGCCGGUUCCUUAGUCGAGGCCGAAAGGCGUAGACGAUGGGUAGCAGGUCAAUAUUCCUGCGCUGGCAAUGCUGUUAUUGAUGGAAGGACGAUGGCUUAAAUGGGAGGGGUCGGUUAGAAGUGACCCUCGCCUUGCAGAAAGAUGGGAGACAGGAAAAUCCGCUCCAUAAAUUGAUUUGCAGGGACAAGGACGUUGAUUCAAUAGUCCCAAGCGAGACAUUCAAGAAAAGUUUCUAAGAUACGUAUUGUCAACCGUACUAAAACUGACACAGGUAGGCGAGAUGAGAAGUCUCAGGCGCUCGGGAGACCACUGGUUAAGGAACUCUGCAAAAUGGCCCCGUACGUUCGCAAUAAGGGGCGCCUGGCAACAGGCCACAGUAAAUCGGCUUCAGCAACUGUUUAUCAAAAACACAGGACGGCGCUAACACGUAAGUGGAUGUAUGCCGUCUGACGCCUGCCCGGUGCUGGUAGGUUAAGGAAGUGGGUAAUCGCAAGAGAAGCUCCCGACCGAAGCCCCAGUAAACGGCGGCUCUAACCUUGAGAGUCCUAAGGUAGCGAAGUUCCUUGUCGGGCAAGUUCCGACCUGCAUGAAAGGCGUAAUGACUGAAGCGCUGUCUCAACCAGUGACCCGGUGAAAUUGUAGUCGUGGUGAAGAUGCCACGUACCCGCACCAAGACGGAAAGACCCCGUGAACCUUUACUGUAGGCUGAUUUUGUGCUCGAGCGCAUAAUGCGUAGGAUAGGUGGGAGGCGUCGAUCUUGCAGCUCCGGCUGCAGGGGAGCCAACGUUGAAAUACCACCCUUUAUACACUUAAGUUCUAACGCCGAGACCUGUGAAUCCAGGCGGCGGACAGAUUCAGUUGGGCAGUUUGACUGGGGCGGUCUCCUCCUAAAGAGUAACGGAGGAGUGCAAAGGUAUCCUCAUUCCGGUUGGCAAUCGGAAGUCGAGCGUAAAGGUAGAAGGAUGCUUAACUGCGAGACAGAUAAGUCGAGCAGGUGCGAAAGCAGGUCUUAGUGAUCCGGUAAUCCCGUAUGGAAGGGUUAUCGCUCAUCAGAUAAAAGGUACUCCGGGGAUAACAGGCUUAUCGCUGCCGAGCGUUCACAGCGGCGCAGCGGUUUGGCACCUCGAUGUCGGCUCAUCACAUCCUGGGGGUGGAGAAGCUCCCAAGGGUUUGGCUGUUCGCCAAUUAAAGUGGUACGUGAGCAGGGUUCAGACCGUCGUGAGACAGGUCGGUCCCUAUCUGGUGUGGGCGCACGAAACUUGACGAGAAUCAAAUUUAGUACGAAAGGAUUUAAUUGGACGUUCCUCUGGUGUUCCAGUUGUUACGCUAGUAGCACGGCUGGGUAGCUAAGAACGGAUUGGAUAAACGCUGAAAGCAUAUAAGCGUGAAGCCAGCUCGGAGAUAAGGUUUCGUUUAAGUCCCCUUAAAGACGAUGAGGUUGAUAGGCUGGAUGUGUAAGCUCAGUAAUGGGUUCAGCUAACCAGUACUAACGGACGAAAACUUGAUCGC
rnacentral:rRNA from 1 species